UACAGAGGUCUCAAGCGUUGUUCGGAUUCAUUGGGCGUAAAGGGCGCGUAGGCUGCGGGGCAAGUCGGGUGUGAAAUCUCAGAGCUCAACUCUGAAACUGCACUCGAUACUGCUUUGCUUGAGGACUGGAGAGGAGAUUGGAAUUCACGGUGUAGCAGUGAAAUGCGUAGAUAUCGUGAGGAAGACCAGUGGCGAAGGCGAGUCUCUAGACAACUCCUGACACUGAGGCACGAAAGCUAGGGGAGCAAACAGG
rnacentral:rRNA from 1 species